GCACUCUCUUUGGCAGCACAUAUACUGAAAUUGGAACAAUACAGAAAUUAGCAUGGCCCCUGUGCAAAUAGGACACCCAAACUUGUAAAGUGUUCCAUAUUUUU
ensembl:snRNA U6 U6 spliceosomal RNA